GGGGGGAUCACCGGAUCUUGGGCUGUGACCCCCAGGGCCCUGGGCUCAGGGGCCUGUGCCGCUGGAAUCGCCCUCCCUGGCCUCGCAGCCUCCU
rnacentral:pre_miRNA from 1 species